rnacentral:ncRNA from 2 species
UACGGACGCGCGGAAGAGUUCGACUUUGCGUCGACGCCGAAGGAGCAACCGCCCCGGAAACUCUCAGGCAAAAGGACCGCGCGACCAGG